CCUACGGGUGGCUGCAGUGGGGAAUAUUGGACAAUGGGCGAAAGCCUGAUCCAGCCAUGCCGCGUGUGUGAAGAAGGCCUUCGGGUUGUAAAGCACUUUCAGUGGGGAAGAAAGCCUUGGGGCUAAUACCCUCGAGGAAGGACAUCACCCACAGAAGAAGCACCGGCUAACUCCGUGCCAGCAGCCGCGGUAAUACGGAGGGUGCGAGCGUUAAUCGGAAUUACUGGGCGUAAAGCGCGCGUAGGCGGUCUGAUAAGCCGGUUGUGAAAGCCCCGGGCUCAACCUGGGAACGGCAUCCGGAACUGUCAGGCUAGAGUGCAGGAGAGGAAGGUCGAAUUCCCGGUGUAGCGGUGAAAUGCGUAGAGAUCGGGAGGAAUACCAGUGGCGAAGGCGGCCUUCUGGACUGACACUGACGCUGAGGUGCGAAAGCGUGGGUAGCAAACAGGAUUAGAUACCCGAGUAGUC
rnacentral:rRNA from 1 species